rnacentral:rRNA from 2 species
AAAUUGAAGAGUUUGAUCAUGGCUCAGAUUGAACGCUGGCGGCAGGCCUAACACAUGCAAGUCGAACGGUAACAGGAAACAGCUUGCUGUUUCGCUGACGAGUGGCGGACGGGUGAGUAAUGUCUGGGAAACUGCCUGAUGGAGGGGGAUAACUACUGGAAACGGUAGCUAAUACCGCAUAACGUCGCAAGACCAAAGAGGGGGACCUUCGUGCCUCUUGCCAUCGGAUGUGCCCAGAUGGGAUUAGCUAGUAGGUGGGGUAACGGCUCACC